rnacentral:rRNA from 1 species
GUGCCAGCCGCCGCGGUAAUACGUAGGGUGCGAGCGUUAAUCGGAAUUACUGGGCGUAAAGCGUGCGCAGGCGGUUAUACAAGACAGGCGUGAAAUCCCCGGGCUUAACCUGGGAAUGGCGCCUGUGACUGUAUAGCUAGAGUGUGUCAGAGGGGGGUAGAAUUCCACGUGUAGCAGUGAAAUGCGUAGAUAUGUGGAGGAAUACCAAUGGCGAAGGCAGCCCCCUGGGAUAACACUGACGCUCAUGCACGAAAGCGUGGGGAGCAAACAGGAUUAGAUACCCUGGUAGUCCACGCCCUAAACGAUGCUGACUAGUUGUUCGGGAUUUACAUCCUGAGUAACGUAGCUAACGCGUGAAGUCAGCCGCCUGGGGAGUACGGUCGCAAGAUUAAAACUCAAAUGAAUUGGCGG